GUCUUGUAUACGCCCAUCAUGAAAGGUUUUACGUGAUGAUUUUGACAAUCACGCAAACGCUUAGUGUUUUUGUGAUGAUUGAUACAAUCACAUUAACACGUAAUCUAUUGUGAUUGUCAAAGUCAUCACAAAAAAAGACUUUAGGGAUCAAAUGUAAGAACGUGAAUAUCUAUUUACGUAUAAUUUAUUUCACUAUAUUAAUUGUAUCUAUAUUAAUUGUAUCAAAU
rnacentral:lncRNA from 1 species